UACGAAGGGGGCUAGCGUUGUUCGGAAUCACUGGGCGUAAAGCGCACGUAGGCGGAUUGUUAAGUCGGGGGUGAAAUCCUGAGGCUCAACCUCAGAACUGCCUCCGAUACUGGCAAUCUCGAGUUCGGAAGAGGUUGGUGGAACAGCUAGUGUAGAGGUGAAAUUCGUAGAUAUUAGCUAGAACACCAGUGGCAAAGGCGGCCAACUGGUCCGACACUGACGCUGAGGUGCGAAAGCGUGGGGAGCAAACAGG
rnacentral:rRNA from 1 species